rnacentral:ncRNA from 1 species
CACUAGGGGUGUUGAAAGACUGAGAUGAGCUGUAGCUCAAACCCUUUGAACCUGAUCUAGUUGAUACUAGCGUAGGAAAGUGUGAAUCA